UACGUAGGGGGCAAGCGUUGUCCGGAUUUAUUGGGCGUAAAGCGCGCGCAGGCGGUUUAUUAAGUCUGAUGUGAAAGCCCACGGCUCAACCGUGGAGGGCCAUUGGAAACUGGUAGGCUUGAGUGCAGGAGAGGAGAGCGGAAUUCCCGGUGUAGCGGUGAAAUUCGUAGAUAUCAAGCAGAACACCUGCGGCGAAGGCGGCCUUCUGGACGAUGACUGACGCUGAGACGCGAAAGCGUGGGGAGCAAACAGG
rnacentral:rRNA from 1 species